CAUAACACAACCUGUUCUGUAUGGAAAGAGAUGCCAACAAAGAAAUAAUUUGAAAAUGUGCCAGAUCCAUUCUGGGAGCUGUGACAGAAAAAAAACCAGAAAAAAUAAUCCCAAUUCAUUCCUAGAGAAGAGGCAGUUGGGUAGUGGCUACAAAUGCUAAUUGUUUUAUAUUAUACACUUUUCUUUCCUCAUUCCUAAUCAAGUGACCCAAAGUGGAACUUCUUUCAAAGAGGGCAGAAAGAAUUCCAGGACUAAUCAGUGAGAAGGAGAAGAAAGCUGCCAAUACCCUAUGUGACAAGCAAGAAUCCAUAAAAGUACCCAAGCUGGACUUAUUUGAAGGAUUCUGCAAAGCUUAAUCUCUCCACCCCUAAAAUGAAGAGGAAAAGUAUCCAGCUGUCUACUACCUCUGGAAUUUAAAGACUGUACAGAAUUCUUUGUUGUUGUCAUCGAUGAGCUACUGAUGACAGCUGAUGUCAUAGUUACACAAAUAGAUUGAAGGAGCCUUCAUUUGAUCUUUCAUAUUUGACAUAGCUAGCUUGUCUAUUUUUUUCACCUGAAAGUCAAGCUGGACAAUUCUCUUCCAAGCUUUUACUCAAUGUUUGCAAAUAUCAAAAUAUAUAAUGACAGCAUUGGAAGGAAGAAAACCACACAAACAGAAUUAUUGCACUAUGCAAUAUGCCCUUCAUGAACUGUAUUUACUGCUUUAGUGUAAGUUGCUCUGCAUAGCAAGAUCCACAGUUUAAUUCAAUCUGAGAAUACCUCCUUUUCUGCAUCAAAAGCAGCCCUGGAAAUGUUCAAUCAAUUAGAAGGAGAAAGUAAUGGUGGUGAAAAGCUAGAUUAGAAUGGUUAUUCACAUCAAAUUAUGGAUAUUAAUUAAUUAACAUUGCUUUAAUGACCAUGAUGUUCGCCUGUGGCAGAAGAACUGAGACAUCAACUUUUAAAGAUCUUGAGAAUGGUGUAUGCUUGAAGUCAAACAGAUGAGGAACGAUGUUAAUUGUCUGAAAAGAUGUUAUAUUGGAAUGAUAACGACGCUUGGCUUUUUAAAGGAUCACAUGUACCAAUUUGUAUCUUCUCAGGUACAUCUUUGAUUUUGCAGAGAGCCUUUUAUAAUUUAAUGUAUAAUUUUCCAUCUUUCCCUAUACUUUUGCGUAAAAAUCACUUGUCCAAUUUUUUGAGUAAUCCAAAUAUUAACUCAGUUUGUUGGCAUGCUGUUUUCCCCUUCCCUUCCACUUCAAGGGAAUAUAUUAUAUACAGAGAGAGGAACAAAAAUAUUGCUAUAUUCUGAAUUAGCUUUUGUAGUUCUGACUUUAAGGGCAGAUGGACUGAUAACAGUUCAGUUAGUAGACUGGGUAUCCCUAGGCUGUGGGAAGCUUUUCUUGCUAAAGUCUGUAUAUAAAUGUUUAUUCUUAAAGCAUAAAACUAUGGUAGUUUGGAGGCUUUUCCUCUCUGUUAAUGAGAAGUUAAUUAAUAUAUGAUGACAAUUUUUUUUCAAAAUAAAUCUUGUUUAUCUGCAGUUGAUAAAACAAAUAGAUCAGUGAUUGGGAUUUGGUGGAUUACUGGCAAACUGCAUUACUUGCACUUCAUGAUAUAUAUUUGGAUCAAGUCUGUGCUGCUCAAUUCAGUUCCUUUUCACAUUCCAUCCAAGUUGACCAUUUAGAACAAAGUGUGAUUAGGUAGUUAUAAUCUCUAACUCAGAGUUCCCCAACCUUUCUGGACUGGCUGGGUGUGUGUAUGUGAAAGAGAGGAUGGUUCCACGUGAGCACUGGGUAAGCAUGUGCAGCUCCAUUUGCAUGAGUGGUGGGCAUGUGUGUCCGCUGGUUGCGCAAAUAGAGCCUGUAAGCAUGCACUUUCUCACUGCUCACACAAAUGGAGCAUGCAGACCCGCGCUUCUCCACUGCUCGCUCAAGUGGGGAUGCACACUUACUUGCCUGCCACUUCUGUGGCCCAGUUCCAAAGGGCUCAAGGCCCACGAUUGGAGACCCCUACUGGUUGGCCAAUGGGGAGUGUCUUGCUACUUCUACUAAGGUUUAUGGUCACCAAAUCCAGUCUGAUGGCACCAACGGAACAGUAUUAUCCCUCUUUCAUUCUGCUUUUGGAAAGACCCUGGAGGAAGAAGAUGACAAAGUAGUAUUGUAUGGUGAGUGGGCCAUUUUACAAGAAGGGGAGGAGAAAGGAAAGCAGUCAAAGACAUGUUGCCAUGGGGCUGUAACAAAUUUCUCCGUUUCCUAUAAAGGAACAAUAAGGCAAAGAAGAUGACUUUCCUGGUCUUGAAGGCAUAGCAAAAUUUGCCCCAAAAUAUUUUUUAUUCAUCAAAUAAGGCAGAGAAAACUGCAUUUUUACAGGGGUAAAAACAUCAACAACUACACAAUCUUUCAAUAUCUUUCCAUAGAAUUUAGUUUCUAGUCCCCUCAUCAUCCAUGUUGCCCUUCUGGACCAGAUAAUCCUGGUGGUUCCUUCUAACUCACAACUCUCUGAUUCUAUUAAUCCUUUUUAAAGGAUUCUGCAAAAAUUUGUUAGUUCUUCUGAGGGCUGAAGGUGGCAAAGCUGUGUAAAGAGUCUAAAAUCAGAGAGUUUCAUUUCUCGAAUAUGGUACAGAUGCUAUCAGCAUCUAAUGCUGAGAAAUGAGUAACCAACACACACACACACACAAACACCUCCUGAUAUGUAAUAUGUUUUAAUUAUGUUUUAGUGUUUUUGGUAUGAAGUCCUUUGAAGUCCUUAUAGAUCAUAGUGAUGUAUAAUACAAUGCAAAAUACAAUACAAUGCAGUGAUGUAUAAAUAUAAUAAAACAAAUAAGCAAACCUAUGAAUGUAUGAUUGUAUUCCAAAAGAGAGAUUUAGUGACAUGUUCAUGGUGUCCUGUGAUAAUACUUAAGGUGGGAUUUGGCAUAAACAAAGUAAAGAGCAAUAAUGAUUUCCCAUGAUUUAGAAGUAUGUUUUUGUUAAUGUUGUCUAAAACUGCAUUUGCAUUUUUUGUUGACCCAUUUUUAGUUUGCGGUCAAUUAUUACUGCAAUAUCUAUUUCCAUAGUGCCAUUAAUAUGCAUUUGAUUUUUUUUUUGUAAUUGAAAAUCUCUUUACCUUUGAUGUUUUCAUUCUGUUACUAGUAACCUAUCAAGAUUAUCUCCCAUAUUUUAGGAUAUUAUUUACCUCAGGCAGCUUUGAGUCAACUGCCAAGUCUGAUAAACAUUUCCUUCCUCUACAUCUAAGUGAUUAAUAACAAUAUUGAAGACUUGAGAAUCAGACUGAUCCUUGUGAUAAUUUUUCCCCAUUUCAUCACAAACUACAUGACGACUAUUGUGAUGAACUACAGUAACGCAGCAGGUUCCCAGGAAGGAGGGAGCACAUUCCAAGGACGGGGUGGUGGUAAAACAAGAGACAUCAUAGACUGGAGUUGGACCAUGGGAAAAAACAAACAGACUUAGGAUAGCCACAGCGUAGAACCUUCCAGGUAUAUCCAUUAGGUUAGGGCAAUAGAGGUUUAGUCUGGCAAGAUUUUUGUUUAUACAGAUAAGCAAAUAAAGAACUGAACUUUG